UACGUAGGGGGCAAGCGUUGUCCGGAAUCAUUGGGCGUAAAGCGCGUGUAGGCGGCCCGGUAACUCCGCUGUGAAAGUCGGGGGCUCAACCCUCGAAUGCCGGUGGAUACUGUCGGGCUAGAGUGCGGGAGAGGCGAGUGGAAUUCCUGGUGUAGCGGUGAAAUGCGCAGAUAUCAGGAGGAACACCAAUUGCGAAGGCAGCUCGCUGGAACGUAACUGACGCUGAGACGCGAAAGCGUGGGGAGCAAACAGG
rnacentral:rRNA from 1 species